GGUUCACACUACAAGGAAUUUCAUCUUUUGCGGGGUGUGAGCUCACCGCAAUUCGCCUAAUUUCUCGCAGCAAAAUUACACACGCUGCGAUUUCCACUCACCGCAAAUCGGCCGAGAGUAAUACGUCUGGUCAGAGCAAUUUCGGUGAAAAGUGAAGUUGGCCGUUGUUCCUACAGAUUUUGCCGCCAAUCUUUCUCGCAGCACAAGUCGAUGGACAAAUACGGUUUGAAGGGCAAUUUCGGCUGGGACAUCGUCGGAAAUCGUGGUCAUUUUUGGCCAAUUUGUGGGCACCGCAAUUGCAGAUUUCGGCGACUUUUGGGGCACCGAAAUUACUGAAGAUGUUGCUGCCAACAUCUCCCGCAGCAACCACGGUCGAUCCCAAAUUGGUUUGAAGAGCAAUUACUGCCAAAUUGCUGGGACGCCGCCAUUAUGGACAUACGGAGAGUUUGGGUCACCGCAAAAGGGAACUUCAGAUUUUGUCAAUCAAAACCCAAAAUCUCGUCAUUUUCCAAUUGCGGUGAAUUUGGUUAUGCCGGAAUUCGUAGUAGUGCAUGCGGGAAGGGUGAAUACGCAGCAAAUGCCAUUUGUUCAGCCUUUCAAAAUCAUGGACAUGGGUAUUUCCAUGUGGUGAACAAUGACUAUAAACAGCCAAGAGAACAGCUUUCUCGCCCCCAACAAAAAUGUAACAAGGAGGUUACCAAACACGAGGAUGCACCACAGAGCCACUGAAAGAACUGGAACUGGAGCAUGUAGGAAAAUACUUACAUGGAUCUCUUAGUGCUUAAAAGUAAAAGUCCGACUGCUCCACCGAGUGAAAGACUGACUCUGGAGGGAAAAUCCAAAUUUGUUUGGUUUCUGAGAUGAGGAUCAACUUACGCAUGGAUUUUCGGAUGCCUCAUCAUGCCACUUAUCGAAUAGUCAUUGUUCCCUUUUCGGUGCAGACCAAUUUCUAAAUGUACUGCAGCUUUAUAUUUAUAUUAUAUCAUGACAAGAAUAGUUCAUGUCAGUAGGGUAAAAUGUAAUUAUAUAUAUAUAUAUAUGACAUACAUAAAUAUUGUUUAUGUCUCUAUUGAGAAUCUUAUGGCUCAAGUAUACGAGCACAUACAUAUUUUGUAUUUGUCAAAAAUUCAUACCAAUCCACAAAUCCAUUCCUUGUUCA